rnacentral:sRNA from 1 species
ACUUGCUAAUCGAAACUAGGGUCUAAAACAAUGUAUAUAAACCCUAUAAAACGUCCAGGGACUAAUAAUGUAAAUAGGGAAGUUUUCUGGGGCAAAUUUCCUCUUUUGUAAACUUGAAAGCGUCUUGGACUCUGCUGGGCCGAAACUGGUGUCGAUCGACACCAAGAGUGUGUCGAUCAACACUCCUCUUGAUUCCUAAAUCCAAAAUCGUCCUUAGCUUCCUUUUCUUUAGCUUUUGCUCCAAAAUGUCUCCUUAUCUUCAUUGUUGUCCCACUGCAUAGAGUACCUGAAAAGAGACUAAAAAGACUCGAGAAAUAAUAAAAACUCAAAAUCCUAUACCUAAAACAUAGAUAAAAUCAGUGAAGAUAGGAAUAUAUCAUACACCAACCAUCUUAUGUGGAUUAAGGAUCCUUCACGUAAUAAUGGUUAAAAACUAAGUGAGAUGAAAAAUAUUAACU